rnacentral:rRNA from 1 species
GAUGAACGCUGGCGGCGUGCCUAAUACAUGCAAGUCGAGCGAACAGAUGAGGAGCUUGCUCCUCUGACGUUAGCGGCGGACGGGUGAGUAACAAGUGGAUAACCUACCUAUAAGACUGGGAUAACUUCGGGAACCCGGAGCUAAUACCGGAUAAUAUAUUGAACCGCAUUGUUCAUUAGUGAAAGACGGUUUUGCUGUCACUUAUAGAUGGAUCCGCGCCGCAUUAGCUAGUUGGUAAGGUAACGGCUUACCAAGGCAACGAUGCGUAGCCGACCUGAGAGAAUGAUCGGCCACACUGGAUCUGAGACACGGUCCAGACACCUACGGGAGGCAGCAGUAUGGAAUCUUCCGCAAUGGGCGAAAGCCUAACGGAGCAACACCGCAUGAGUGAUAAAGGUCUUCGGAUCGUAAAACUCUGUUAUUAAGGAAGAACAAAUGUGUAAGUAACUAUGCACGUCUUGAGGGUACCUAAUCAGAAAGCCGCGGCUAAGUACGUG